rnacentral:misc_RNA from 1 species
GUUAAUGAUACCCUAUUAUUUCCGUUCUUCCAGAUACAACAGGUAAAAUAUUGCAAGUAGUAAAAAAUGAGGGACUUUGUAGCAAAGAGAAAAGGUUCUGGAACACUCUAUAGGACUCUCCAGAGGCAUAAAGGUAAAAUGGAAGCUCUUCCAUAAUCCCAGCUUCAUUUCUGUAGCUGCAUACCAGUCUUCAUUCACCGAGUUAACUGAGCCCAGGCAAAGCGAAUCGCUAUGGCCAUAAUUUCAGAUUAUCAGGAGGACGAGAACGAGACGAAGCCGAGAUCGAAUUCAAAUCCGUCAUCGUCUUCUUCAUCUAAAACGCUGUCGUUUAACGCGACGUUCGAUCCAAGGAAUCCUAUAGGGAUUGUGGAGAGGCU